UACGGGGAGGGCGAGCGUUAUUCAGCGUUAUUGGGCGUAAAGGGCAUCUAGGCUGUUUAAUAAGUUCCUUGUGAAAUUUUACAGCUCAACUGUAACAGGACUUGUGAAGACUAUUAGACUAGAGUAUAGGAGAAGAUAGCGAUACUUUUAGAGUAAAGGUAAAAUUUGAAGAUACUAAAGGGGUCACCGACUGGCGAAGGCGGCUAUCUAGCUUAUGACUGACGCUGACGUGCAAAAGCGUGGGGAGCAAACAGG
rnacentral:rRNA from 1 species